UGGCCUCCGCCACCGUCCCGCUGCCCCCACCCUCGCUUUGUCGGCACGUCCUCUCGGCCAUCGGAUCUCAGCAUCGUCGGCUCCUCAUCGAGUUAGUAGUCGCGUCGGGUGAUGGCGGAGCACCUGCGACCGGACCCCGAGAAGGGUAAGCGAAAGAGAGGGAGGCGUCGGAGAGACGUGGAGAUCGGGGAUGAUGACGACAACUUUGAGGCUUGCUCAGGCAGGCCUAGGCUGCUGCGACUUCGUUGCGACUGGUUCGCACAUGACAAGGUCAUCGUCGAUCACCCUCCCGAGACACUGGCCGCAUCGGUCGUCGCGGUGACAACGGUGGGUGAGGGGCGGAGGCGACAUACAAGGGGGGAUACUAUAACAAACUUUGAUGCAGUCUCGAAUCGUCUCAGCUCAUGUAUCGGAGCUUUCAGCUCAGGCGUUGAUGUUGGUUGUUGGACCUCUGAACCAAUGUCUUGCACUCAGCAGCCACGAGGCAACAGUGAGGAGGAGCAGGCCGCCGACGAGGACAGGAGUGUAGUUGAGAGUGUCCCCGGUGAUGGGGUACGCGACGGGCAAGGAGAAGAGAACCGUGAUGGUUGCAACCCAGAGGACGGCCACCCGACCCACCAAGAGACUGUAGCGGCCGAGGUUGAAGGGCCCUGGCACGAACGACUUGCGUGCGAGAGUUACUCUGAAGAAGAUGGGCAAUGCGUAGGCAACGUAGAGCCCGAUGGUGGCGAUCGACACCAUUGCCUGGAAUGCCACCAAGCUGCCGAGGGACUGCAAACAAUGUAAAGAGUCUUGACAUGAGAAGGCCCAUCUGAUGAACAUCUUUGGCACAGGACAUGUAUGAAAAGUAGUACAGAGGAAAUGCAAAACUAUAGAUUGGUUCUAUGA